GUAUAUAUAUUUCAUAGACACAUUUUUGGAACUGUUUUGUCUCACACACCAACACACAGACCUCACACACCAACAUACAGACCUCACACACCAGUAGUCAAUACCAAACUUGACCGCCGAUCAUCACCAUCGCUGGCCACCGGCGCUGGCCACCACGACCCCUGCAAAUCGGCCCCACCACUGAUUACAGGUGACUAAUACACCAUGGGGCGAAAGGGUAUCAUUUUUAUUCGAUCCUACUACUGAUCUAGUUGCAAAAUCAUAGCAUAUUAGUCCAUUCAUGGUACCAUGGUUCCUGGAAUCAAGAUGGGACGGCGGAAGAGAGCAACAAGUGCCAACGUAUUAUCAGCCUCUGAAGCAUGUCCACCUGAGAUUGGCACCCCGUUGACGUUCUCUGAUGAGACACUGCCACCAGAUGAUACACAAACAGUGGUGGAGGAGACGCAGCCAGGUGGCGUGGGUAAGAGCAUUGAACUUAGUUGU